AGAGUUUGAUCCUGGCGUCAGGAUGAACGCUGGCGGCGUGCCUAACACAUGCAAGUCGAACGAAGCAUACGGACUGGAGAUCGUCGAAGGACCGUAUGACUUAGUGGCGGACGGGUGAGUAAUGUAUGAGCAACCUGCCUUUCAGAGGGGGACAACAGUUGGAAACGACUGCUAAUACCGCGUAACGUAUCGUGGGGGGCAUCCUCGUGAUACCAAAGGAGCAAUCCGCUGAAAGAUGGGCUCAUAUCUGAUUAGCUUGUUGGUGGGGUAACGGCCCACCAAGGCGACGAUCAGUAGCCGGACUGAGAGGUUGAACGGCCACAUUGGGACUGAGAUACGGCCCAGACUCCUACGGGAGGCAGCAGUGGGGAAUAUUGGGCAAUGGGCGAAAGCCUGACCCAGCAACGCCGCGUGAAGGAAGAAGGUCUUCGGAUUGUAAACUUCUUUUAUGAGGGACGAAGGACGUGACGGUACCUCAUGAAUAAGCCACGGCUAACUACGUGCCAGCCGCCGC
rnacentral:rRNA from 1 species